AUUGAACGCUGGCGGCAGGCCUAACACAUGCAAGUCGAGCGGAUGAAGGGAGCUUGCUCCUGGAUUCAGCGGCGGACGGGUGAGUAAUGCCUAGGAAUCUGCCUGGUAGUGGGGGAUAACGUCCGGAAACGGGCGCUAAUACCGCAUACGUCCUGAGGGAGAAAGUGGGGGAUCUUCGGACCUCACGCUAUCAGAUGAGCCUAGGUCGGAUUAGCUAGUUGGUGGGGUAAAGGCCUACCAAGGCGACGAUCCGUAACUGGUCUGAGAGGAUGAUCAGUCACACUGGAACUGAGACACGGUCCAGACUCCUACGGGAGGCAGCAGUGGGGAAUAUUGGACAAUGGGCGAAAGCCGAUCCAGCCAUGCCGCGUGUGUGAAGAAGGUCUUCGGAUUGUAAAGCACUUUAAGUUGGGAGGAAGGGCAGUAAGUUAAUACCUUGCUGUUUUGACGUUACCAACAGAAUAAGCACCGGCUAACUUCGU
rnacentral:rRNA from 1 species